AUUUUAUGUGGUGGAUAUGGAUAUGUCUGGAAGAGUAGAUCCUGAACUGGGAACACUGGGAGCUCCCAGGAGUGGAAUGGGACAGAUGUACGGAGUUCUGAUAACAUAAUCCUGAGUUCUCAGGACAGUGUUCCUUUGUGUUCUCUCUCUCUCUCUCUGUCUCUCUCUGUCUCUCCCUUCCUCCCUCCCUCCCUCCCUCCCUCCCUCCCUCCCUCCCUCCCUCCCUCCGUGUGUGUGUGUGUGUGUGUGUGUGUGUGUGUGCGCGCGCGCGCACGCGCAUGUGUGCAGGAGGACGGAGUGAAGGCCAGGGCUCAAGUAAAGGUCUUCAGUCAUCCCACACUACUCUUUGGCUGAACCAAGAACUCACUAUUUGGCUUGGUCGGGUGGCCAGCGAGCUCCAAGGCCCCAGCUGUCCCCACCCCCCUCCUGCUGGGAUCACAGACCCACAUCACCAUGCCUGGCCUUUUAUGUGGGUGCUGGCAAUCUCAACUCAGAUAUUUUUCAGAAGGAAAUUACUCAUUAAGAAAUAAAUUCUUCGGGCUGGAGAGAUGGCUCAGUGGUUAAGAGCACUGACUGCUCUUCCAGAGGUCCUGAGUUCAAAUCCCAGCAACCACAUGGUGGCUCACAACCAUCUGUAACAGGGAUCCAAUGCCCUCUUCUGGUGUGUCUGAAGACAGCUACAGUGUAUUCAUAUACAUGAAAUAAACAAAAUCUUUAAAAAAAAAAAAAGAAGAAAUAAAUUCUUCCAGGAAAACUAAGCUACACAGAGAAACCCUGUCUUAAAAAAGCAAAAUAAAUAAACUAAUAUUCUCUGUUCA